CCUCGAAUAAGAACAGGCCAAGCGAGUUAUCGGGUCAAUGUAUUAGUUGAGGCUAUGACAUGAAACGGGCUGGGCUGGCCCAGCCCAAAUUUAGCACAAGUCCAUCAUUUUUUCAGGCCGGGUCGGACUGCCCGUGAAGCGGGGCUCCAAUGGCAAUGAGUGUUCACACACAUGCUUACACGUGCAUGAGUGGUUUGCGCGCGAAGCACACAGGAGAUGAAAUCAAUCUUUGUAAAUUGGAAUCAAAUUUUCCUUUUUUGUGAUGAUUCGCGAAGAAAUCAUCAAUUCGGAUUCAAAUUCAGAGUUGCCAAAUCAGCUGACGUUUUCUCGCUCCAUUUUGACAACAACAGUUCUUAAUCCCAACAACUUUUUCCAAGUAUGGUUUGAUUUCUAAGCUAAGAAUUCUCUCGCACUUCUGUCACAAAUUGUAAUGCAUACGGUUAAAUAAUUUAUUUCUCCCUGAAAAACCUAGCACGAGAGAUAUAUAUGGUAUAUUUUGAUGUGUUCGAGGCAUUAUUCACUUCUUUCAAUGUUUCACUGUGUGCGAUUUCUAUUGAAAUGAGAUGUUGGGAGCUGAUUCCAUGAUCAACGGUCCAAUUCCAAUCCAUCGGUCCAUCUUCGCAAAGAUGCAGCCAGCGUCAAUGGAUCACCGCAGUCUAUCAUCAGACGAUGAAAAUGACGGAUAUAUAGCACAGUCUUUCAGUGAAUGCUCAUCUUUUUUCUGCAAAAGUUUUUAUAUAGGUAGGGUCUGCUCUUAUAUUUAGUUGUGUCUUUAUACAGUUGAGGAGAUUUAAUCAGAAGAAUACCGUAAUUGAGUAAAAUUAUGAGUAAUUGAAAUAAUGGAAAAAGAAAAAAUAGUGGACUGAUGUAAAGAUAGGCAUGAAUUACCUUUGCUGGGGUUCACUAUCACUUACAUCGUGGAUUAUUCAGUUUCCUAAGAGGUGCUUUCCUUUUGUGGAUAAUGUAUUUGCAGGAAGUUGUAAAUCUAAAGCAAUUAGCAGAUUCACAUGCCCCACAUAGAUCCAUUUCCUAUUGGCAAAAUGCUGGUUGGUAUAAGCUAGCCUGCAUGUUUUUAGUGGGAAACGAGAGACACACACCCCAACGCUGAUGGAAAAUCUCUGCAUAUGGAGGAAUGGAUCUCAUGCCCAAAAAAAGUUACAUUUUCCUUGUCGGAAGCGGACAUGAGCUCUUUCUGGAUUCUGCUACAACUCUACAUUGAAUAUUUGCUGUAAUAAUAAUCUGCAGAUUGAUUCAAGUUCUAUACAAAUUACUAUGAUUCAUUACAUGAUCACUGAAAACAAGAGUUGAAGAAUGUUUCACAAUCUACAUCUUCUAUUUAAUGUUUCGUUUCAUUGUUUAUGAGCUUUUGCUUUGAUUGGAUGUAAUGUAGUCUUAUCAACACGCACGCACACAAACACACGUGCUCUAAAAUGUAAGUACAUUUUUCAGGAGAGAAUCCAGAAAUAUUUCUCAAAAUUCUGAUUUUCUAAGUUUGAAACUUUGAAAGCAUCUGUUGAUGUAACUCUAUGCUUCUGUAGCAGCAAAGAACAUACGUCUAUAUAUUAUAGUAUGAUUUUUUUUUAAAGAAAAUGAAAAAAUGGUGAUAAGUUGAUAAAACAUAGAAUAUCCAU